rnacentral:rRNA from 1 species
AACGCGAAGAACCUUACCUGGGCUUGACAUGCUGGAAGUAGAAACCCGAAAGGGGGACGACCUGUUAAGUCAGGAGCCAGCACAGGUGGUGCAUGGCUGUCGUCAGCUCGUGCCGUGAGGUGUUGGGUUAAGUCCCGCAACGAGCGCAACCCUCACCCUAUGUUGCCAUCAGUUCGGCUGGGCACUCUUAGGGAACUGCCGGCGAAGAGCUGGAGGAAGGGGGGAUGACGUCAAGUCCGUAUGCCCCUUAUGUCCAGGGCUACACACAUGCUACAAUGGUCGGUACAGAGGGUUGCCAACCCGCGAGGGGGAGCCAAUCCCAUAAAGCCGAUCUCAGUUCGGAUUGCAGGCUGCAACUCGCCUGCAUGAAGUAGGAAUCGCUAGUAAGCGCAGAUCAGCAGGCUGCGCUGAAUACGUUCCCGGGCCUUGUACACACCGGUAUCUC